CCCGAAGCGCUGACAUUGCACGAAGCAGACAAGAAGACUCUGUAUUUUAACUGUGUGAAGAGCAUAAACCGGUCCGGACUGUGCGACAGGCUCCCCACUGUGUGGUCCAACAGACUGGGACAAAAUGGACCGGGCCCACAGUGGAGGAUUUUAUACAAACCUCCCCUCAAGAAACGGACUGCCGACCUCCAGUGGAGAAUUUUACACGGUGCUGUCGCCUCCAACGCUUUUAUUUCUGUUAUUAAUCCCACUGUUCUGAGCAAAUGCCCCUUCUGUGACCUCCGAGAGACUAUUUAUCAUGUUUUUACAGAGUGCAAGAGACUUGCGAGUUUCUUCUCUCUUUUAACAUCGGUUUUUAGUCUUUUUAAUGUGGUUUUUACUGAAAAGAUUUUUAUCAUGGGAGCUGCCUACAAAAAAGCAGAAAAAGAAAAAUGGCAGCUCCUCAACUAUCUUUCAGGGGAAGCCAAAAUGGCCAUUUAUCUAAGCAGGAAGGCCAGAGCAGUGUGGCUGGUGAACAUCAGGGCCAGGCUCUGGCUAGAGUUCCGCUUUUAUAAACACAUUGGAGACGUAGACACUUUUAAACAACGUUGGUGUUUUAAUAAUGUUGUGUGCUCAGUGGAAAAGAAUGAAUUGGUGUUUGCUCCUGUUUUUAUGGCAUGAAAUAUAAUUUUGCUUUGUUUGUUUUGUUUUGGUUUUUUUGUUGCUUUGUCUUGGUUUUUUUAACAAAGGAAGGAAAUCUGUGACCUUUUUUAACACAUUGACAAGUUGUUGAAAUAUGUCAAAUAAAUUGUUUUUCUAAAAAAUAAAAAAAAAUCUCUCUCUCUCUCUCUCUCCCUCUCCCUCUCCCUCUCCCUCUC
ensembl:lncRNA